rnacentral:rRNA from 1 species
GAUGAACGCUGGCGGCGUGCUUAACACAUGCAAGUCGAACGAAGCACUUUAUUUGAUUUCCUUCGGGACUGAUUAUUUUGUGACUGAGUGGCGGACGGGUGAGUAACGCGUGGGUAACCUGCCUUGUACAGGGGGAUAACAGUUGGAAACGGCUGCUAAUACCGCAUAAGCGCACAGCAUCGCAUGAUGCAGUGUGAAAAACUCCGGUGGUAUAAGAUGGACCCGCGUUGGAUUAGCUAGUUGGUGAGGUAACGGCCCACCAAGGCGACGAUCCAUAGCCGACGUGAGAGGGUGACCGGCCACAGGGGGAAGGAGACACGCCCAAAACCCCAAGGGGGGGCAGGGGUGGGGAAUAUGGAAAAAGGGGCGAAGGCCUGAUGGCGCGACGCGGGGUGAGAGAAAAAUUUUUUGGUGAUGAAAACCUAUAUAAGAAGGGAAGAUAAUGAGGUUCCCUGACAAAGAAGCCCCGGCAAAAUCGGCC